AACCUCUGACAAUGGGCAAAGAAACACCUUGUUGGUGGUGUUGGUCUGAUAUCAGUCAGGGGCAGCCCAUAUGGCUAUCCUUUGUUGAUCCUAGCUUGAUACCUGCCUGGCUUUGUGACCAAAGCUGUUUUAAGCCUAGGACACAUAA